ensembl:snRNA U6 U6 spliceosomal RNA
GUGAUUGCUUUGGCUAUGCAUAUACUAAAAUUGGGAUGAUACAGAGAAGAUUAGCAUGGCCCCUGCUCAAGGAUGACAUGCAAAUUCAUGAAGCCUUCCAUAUUUCA